UUUCUCAUAGCACUUAAUCCCUUCUUCUCCUCCAUUAACAACGCCAUUAUAUGUGCCACUCAAUCCCUUUGAUUCUUACCAUGAUAAAUAUCAUGCGUUACGUUAGAAGAACAAUCUUUUGAGAUUUUCCCUUAUAUAAUCCUCAACAAUGGUUAUCAUCUUCCCGGAUUUCUCCAUUUCUUUCUUACGCAUACUCUCCCAAGGAUAUUAGAUUUUGGUUGGUAGAGGCCAUCUUGAGAAAGAACCAGCAUCCAUCUCUGGUAAAUCUUCUAAAUCAACACUGAACUUCCAUCUUUGGUUCCUCUGUUGUAAAUUUUAAAUGGCCUGUGACUGUUGCUUUCUGGAUAAUUUUUGACUAAUUUUUUGUUUCUUAAUCUGGGUUUUAUUUAUUGUCAUCGAAUUUCUGGGUGAUUGAAAAUUGUUUCAGCUUUGUGAAUUUUAUAAUGUGGUGGAAAGAAGAAUUGAUUAAUACUAAUUAGGUUUAUUGUAUAGUUUUAGGUGCAGUGACUGCGAUAAACUUUGUGGUCAGUAAAUUUUAUUGGUGUUUAUAUUUGUGAUUUGGAGUUUGAUAUUCUGCCGCAGUUUGCUUUACUUGCAUUUGUUAAUAGGACUGAGAAGCUGGCGUUUUCAAAAUGCAAACAGUAAGGUUAUGGAGCAUUCUAUUGGAACAAUUGUCGCUUAUAUUUUGGGAAUAAGGUAGGCUUUAUCCAGGACAUAAUACACUCCAACUAAACUCAGAUAUUAAAAUUUCAAGAUUUCAGAAUUUUCAGGGGAUCAUAUUAACUCAGCAUUAGUUGACCGUAAAAAUUACUUCAUUUCUUAUUCUGUAAGCCUGAGCUAAUUUUACAAACUUUUAAACUGGUACAUGUUUUAGAGAUAAGGGAUUAAGCAACACUAGAAGUCAGUACACAAACAGGACCGUGAAAUAGCAGAACGACAAAUUCGUUGGAACCAGCUUCCAACUCAGCCCGGAUUUUUGUCAACGGUGGUGUAUCAUGAGGUAAAACGUAUGCUUUCCUUAUAUAUUAUUACUAUGGGAAGAAAUGGAUCCACACCAGUUAAUAUUCUAGCAUCGUCCCGUGAGUCUGAGUAUUUAUUAUAAUGUAAGUGCGUAUAUCAAUUAGACAUUCAUUAAGCUAUAGCAUCGUCUGUAAUCUUGAUUGACAAAUUUUGCCGAAUGAUAAUUGUAUCAAUGAGGAGAUGUAGUGAUCUGUUGGAAGACUGCAAGGCUUGCUUUUGAAUAGUAGUAAUUUUAAUGUGGUUUUCGUUAAGCGUUCAAAAAAUAGAUUAGCUGACCGGCUUGCACGUCGGGCAAGGAAAUUUUGUAUUAAGGAUAAUUGGGUCUCCUUUCCUCCUUUUUUGGAUAGUUUUGUAAGGAAGGAACCCUUAUCGGAUGUUUGUAUUUCCCUUCUCAGUUAAUUUAAGGUAAGGUGUGUUUCUCAUCGAAAAAAAAAAAGAUAAUUGUAUCAAUGAUAUUGGUCAUAAUUUAUAAAUGAGGUGCCG